rnacentral:tRNA from 1 species
GGGAUAUAGCUCAGCUGGGAGAGCGCUUGAAUGGCAUUCAAGAGGUCAGGGGUUCGAUUCCCCUUAUCUCC